rnacentral:rRNA from 1 species
UACGAAGGGGGCUAGCGUUGCUCGGAAUCACUGGGCGUAAAGGGCGCGUAGGCGGCCAUUUAAGUCGGGGGUGAAAGCCUGUGGCUCAACCACAGAAUUGCCUUCGAUACUGGAUGGCUUGAGACCGGAAGAGGUAAGUGGAACUGCGAGUGUAGAGGUGAAAUUCGUAGAUAUUCGCAAGAACACCAGUGGCGGAAGGCG